rfam:Triticum aestivum genome assembly, contig: Triticum_aestivum_CS42_TGACv1_scaffold_576840_7BL
UAUAUACUCCCUCCGUCCUAAAAUUCUUGUCUUAAAUUUGUCUAGAUACGGAUGUAUCUAAUACUAAAACAUGACUUGAUACAUCCGUAUCUAGACAAAUCUAAGACAAGAAUUUUGGACGGGGGUACAAU